rnacentral:rRNA from 1 species
CAGCCGCCACGGUAAUACGAAGGGGGCUAGCGUUGCUCGGAAUUACUGGGCGUAAAGGGAGCGUAGGCGGAUCGUUAAGUCUGUUGUGAAAGCCCCGGGCUCAACCUGGGAAUGGCAAUGGAUACUGGCGAGCUAGAGUGUGUCAGAGGAUGGUGGAAUUCCCGGUGUAGCGGUGAAAUGCGUAGAGAUCGGGAGGAACAUCAGUGGCGAAGGCGGCCAUCUGGGACAACACUGACGCUGAGGCACGAAAGCGUGGGGAGCAAACAGGAUUAGAUACCCCAGUAGUCCCUGUCUCUUAUAC